GAUGAACGCUGGCGGUAUGCUUAACACAUGCAAGUCGAACGGACUCUUCGGAGUUAGUGGCGGACGGGUGAGUAACGCGUGAGAAUCUGGCUUUGGGUUCGGGACAACCACUGGAAACGGUGGCUAAUACCGGAUGUGCCGAGAAGUAAAAGAGAAAUUGCCUGAAGAUGAGCUCGCGUCUGAUUAGCUAGUUGGUGAGGUAAAGGCUCACCAAGGCAGCGAUCAGUAGCUGGUCUGAGAGGAUGACCAGCCACACUGGGACUGAGACACGGCCCAGACUCCUACGGGAGGCAGCAGUGGGGAAUUUUCCGCAAUGGGCGAAAGCCUGACGGAGCAAUACCGCGUGAGGGAAGAAGGCUCUUGGGUUGUAAACCUCUUUUCUUAGGGAAGAACAAAAUGACGGUACCUAAGGAAUCAGCAUCGGCUAACUCCGUG
rnacentral:rRNA from 1 species